rnacentral:lncRNA from 1 species
GAUCUCAGGUGUGUUGUGUGGAGUUGUGAAGUGUCAGAGUUUGAAGGAGGCUUACGAAUCUUGGCCUCGGGACUCCCCAGCCCUGUUCCCAUUUGCACAGUGCCACAAGGAGCCCAGAGAGGCUGGGCCCUGGUGAGCUCCUGGCAGCUCUGUUGGGGUGCAGUUGUGAACAUGAUCCACCCAUUUUAAGUGUGUGUGGCCCACAGGAUUUUGAUGCAUGACAGAGUUUGCACUCCCCAUCUUAAUUCUAGAACAUUGUCAUGACCUUCCAAGGGACCUCAUUCCCAUGAAUGGCCACCUGCUGUCCCUCCCCCUGGCCUUUGGCCAUCACAUACUGACUUUGUUUUUGGAUUGGCCUUUUGGGGGCCACCCUCUGCCAAGGGAGCCCUGCACUCGGUGUUAGUCUGUGUCAUGUCCCCCGCGCCCCCCUUUGACUCUGGAUUCUGUCUGGGACAGAGCUCAGGUGUGUUUCCACAGGGUGGCCAUCUGUAGCAGCUGCUCUGGAAGCUCAGUCUCAGGAUCUGUCUGCCAGCUGGGUCCUGCAGAGGCUGCUGUCCUUGCCCAGUGCAUACCCCUGGGGAAGAGCAAGGCCUCGUAGAGCACCGUCAC